rnacentral:rRNA from 1 species
AUGCUAGAUAUCUCAGAACUCUUGUUCAUGCAUAACAAUAUGGCACAUGAGUUUAUCUAUCUCCCAGCGACUUCCUCCAUCAGGCAGCCAGAAACGCUUGCAUACCCAUGGACACUGGGACCUAUUAGAGGGGUUCAAAUCACUGCUGAAUUGCACAACCCCCCUUUAUUGGCAGUAGUAUUCUCAAGUAGUAGCAGUUCAUCAAGGACAGGAGCUAUGAUCUCAUCAUUCUGCGUAUUGGCAAUCAUCUGCAAUAAUACUAUGCCGAACCCACUGCACCGCCACCAGUCACAUGCUUCAGAAAAGGGCCUGCAAACGGUACAACAAAAUCAAUAA